rnacentral:rRNA from 1 species
UACGGAGGGUGCGAGCGUUGUCCGGAAUCACUGGGCGUAAAGGCGCGUAGGCGGCCUGAUAAGUAGGGGGUGAAAAUCCUGCGGCUUAACCGCAGGGCUGCCUUCUAAACUGUCAGGCUAGAGCACAGUAGAGGCAGGUGGAAUUCCCGGUGUAGCGGUGGAAUGCGUAGAGAUCGGGAAGAACAUCAGUGGCGAAGGCGGCCUGCUGGGCUGUUGCUGACGCUGAGGCGCGAGCAGCGUGGG